rnacentral:rRNA from 1 species
CCUACGGGUGGCAGCAGUGAGGAAUAUUGGUCAAUGGGCGAGAGCCUGAACCAGCCAAGUCGCGUGAGGGAGUACUGCCCUAUGGGUUGUAAACCUCUUUUGUCGGGGAGCAAAAGCCGGACGUGUCCGGCUGUGAGAGUACCCGAAGAAAAAGCAUCGGCUAACUCCGUGCCAGCAGCCGCGGUAAUACGGAGGAUGCGAGCGUUAUCCGGAUUUAUUGGGUUUAAAGGGUGCGCAGGCGGAGGUGCAAGUCAGCGGUCAAAUUGCGGGGCUCAACCCCGUACUGCCGUUGAAACUGCAUCCCUUGAGUGCGCGAGAAGUAUGCGGAAUGCGUGGUGUAGCGGUGAAAUGCAUAGAUAUCACGCAGAACUCCGAUUGCGAAGGCAGCAUACCGGCGCGCAACUGACGCUCAUGCACGAAAGCGUGGGUAUCGAACAGGAUUAGAUACCCUAGUAGUC